rnacentral:rRNA from 1 species
UACGGAGGGUGCAAGCGUUAUCCGGAUUUACUGGGGUUAAAGGGAGCGCAGGCGGAUUAGUAAGUCAGUGGUGAAAGCCUUGAGCUUAACUCGAGAACUGCCAUUGAUACUAUUAGUCUUGAAUGUUGUUGAGGUUUGCGGAAUGGGUCAUGUAGCGGUGAAAUGCAUAGAUAUGACCCGGAACACCUAUUGCGAAGGCAGCAGGCUAAACGAAUAUUGACGCUGAGGCUCGAAAGCGUGGGGAUCAAACAGG